UGUCUAUAAAAAUACGGCACUUAGUCAUUUUCGACCCGAAACAAAGGUUACUAUAUUAUAAUACCUGAUUCUCUUUUUGACUGAAAUUACUUUAUUUACCAUGUGCAAGGUUGCUGUGUACUUUUUUUUGGGGGGGGAGGCAUCAGGGGGGUGUGCGCAAACUGUUUAGCGACGGGAUACCUCAAAGCAUUUAAUUUUGACCGUUUCAAUAUGUUAAGUAAGUUAUGACAUAAAGUUUGCCUUUGAAUUCCUUGAAAUAUAUUUGAAGUUUACAUAUACAUGUAACCGUAUUAAUUUAUUUAAAUAAACGUUGCUGCUACAGCUAAAUUAUAUCCGAAAUUUCAUUGCAUUUAUGCGGUUGAAGUUUGUGUGGUAAUAAUAAUCUGCAUAACAAGACAUGCAAUUUUUUUAUGAAUAUAUCUUAUUAUGGGAAGUGUAAUACUGCCCUAUUUGUUGAUGUCAACUGUAACAGCAGUGACGUACAGAGACCAUAGCGACCCAAAGGGGGAUCGAGGGAGGUGGGGGUGUUCCUCUACAGCCUCUUCGCCUUACCAACCAACUCUAUUUUACCAACUUAUUUGCCAACAGGUCACAGUUUUCCCUACAUAAUCUCCAUUUUACCGACAAGCUUUCGAAGAAGUUGGUGGUGGGGGGGGGGGAGGGUCACACUCCAACAUACCCCGCUCGGCAACCCUUGUGUAACAGAGUAGUGCUUAUUUCGUUGUAACAGUAAAUUGUUAUAAUUAUCAUAGAAGGAAGAG